AUAGACCCCCAUAGACCCCUAUAUACACCCCAUUGAUCCCCAUAGACCCCAUAGAACCCUAUAUACACCCUAUAUACACCCCAUAGACCCCUAUAGACCCCCAUAGACCCCCAUAGACCCCUAUAUACACCCCAUAGACCCCCAUAGACCCCAUUGAUCCCCAUUGACCCCUCACAUAGAGCAGCAGCUUCAGGCGCCGCUUCAGGGCCCGGUACCGGCGCUUGUAGGCGCCGCCAUCGCCCUCGGCCGCCGCGUUCAUUUCCGGCCUCCCCCUUCCUCUCGCCGCUCCCCAUUGGCUGGCGCCCCCGCCCACCGCGCUCCCAUUGGCUGAGCGCCGCCGCCGGGUCCCGCCCCCUUUCCGCCGUGGAUGCGGCGCGCUCAUUGGCUGAGAGCACGCAGCGUGAGUGGGCGGUGGGGAGCGGGGACACGCCCACUGGGAUGGGAGGGGGCGGAGCUUGGGAUGGGCGGGGCCAGAUGAAGCCACGCCCCCUAAUGCCUUUAAUGGGCGUUUUUGGGGCUAUUUAAGGGGUUUUUGGGUCUUUGGGACCCCCCGUUAACCAAAAUCAAGUGAAAACGCCCCAAAAGUCACAUUUUUAUUGAGUUUGGGGCAUUUUGGGUGGAUUUGAGGCGUUUUGGGGGGUUUGAGGCCGUUUUGGGGCCGUUUCCAGGCAUUUUGGGUCAUUUUCAGCCGUUUUCAGGUAGUUUUUACCCAUUUUCGGUCCUUUUUGUGCCAUUUUUGAGCCAUUUUUAGCCAUUUUCGCUCUGUUUUUACCCAUUUUUGGGUCAUUUUAAGCUGUUUCAGGUCCGUUUUUACCCAUUUUCGGUCCGGUUUGGUGCAUUUUGGGUCCAUUUCCAGCAAUUUUGGGGUGAUUUUAGCCAUUUUUGAGCCGUUUCCGUGCAUUUUUGGGUCAUUAAUAGCCAUUUUUGGGUCAUUCCUCGCCAUUUUUGGGUCAAUUUCCAUUCAUUUUGGGUCCAUUUCAUCCAUUUUCAGUCCAUUUUUAGCUAUUUUGGGUCUGGUUUUAGCCAUUUUGGGUCCGUUUCCAGCCAUUUUCGGGUCAUUUUUAGCCAUUUUUGGGUCGUUCUUGACGAUUUUUGUGUCAUUUUCAACGAUUUUUGGGUCAUUUUCCCCAAUUUUGGGGUCAUUUUUAGCCAUUUUCAGGUUGUUCUUGACGAUUUUCGGGUUAUUUUCAACAAUUCUGGGCUCAUUUUAAACGAUUUUUGGGUCAUUUUCCCCCAUUUUUGGUCGUUUUCAACGAUUUUUGGCUCAUUUUCAAUGAAUUUUGGGUCAUUUGCCACAAUUUUGGGCUCAUUUUCAACGAUUUUUGGGAUCUACGUUUUGACGAUUUUCGGGUUGUUCUUGACAAUUUUUGUGUCAUUUUUACCAAUUUUCGGGUCGUUCUUGACGAUU
rnacentral:lncRNA from 14 species